rnacentral:rRNA from 1 species
GUGGGGAAUAUUGGACAAUGGGCGCAAGCCUGAUCCAGCAAUGCCGCGUGAGUGAUGAAGGCCUUAGGGUUGUAAAGCUCUUUCGCACGCGACGAUGAUGACGGUAGCGUGAGAAGAAGCCCCGGCUAACUUCGUGCCAGCAGCCGCGGUAAUACGAAGGGGGCUAGCGUUGUUCGGAAUUACUGGGCGUAAAGGGCGCGUAGGCGGCCUGUUUAGUCAGAAGUGAAAGCCCCGGGCUCAACCUGGGAAUAGCUUUUGAUACUGGCAGGCUUGAGUUCCGGAGAGGAUGGUGGAAUUCCCAGUGUAGAGGUGAAAUUCGUAGAUAUUGGGAAGAACACCGGUGGCGAAGGCGGCCAUCUGGACGGACACUGACGCUGAGGCGCGAAAGCGUGGGGAGCAAACAGGAUUAGAUACCCUAGUAGUCC